rnacentral:rRNA from 1 species
AUUGAACGCUGGCGGCAGGCCUAACACAUGCAAGUCGAGCGGAUGAAGGGAGCUUGCUCCUGGAUUCAGCGGCGGACGGGUGAGUAAUGCCUAGGAAUCUGCCUGGUAGUGGGGGAUAACGUCCGGAAACGGGCGCUAAUACCGCAUACGUCCUGAGGGAGAAAGUGGGGGAUCUUCGGACCUCACGCUAUCAGAUGAGCCUAGGCCGGAUUAGGUAGUUGGUGGGGUAAGGGCCUACCAAGGCGACGAUCCGUAACUGGUCUGAGAGGAUGAUCAGUCACACUGGAACUGAGACACGGUCCAGACUCCUACGGGAGGCAGCAGUGGGGAAUAUUGGACAAUGGGCGAAAGCCUGAUCCAGCCAUGCCGCGUGUGUGAAGAAGGUCUUCGGAUUGUAAAGCACUUUAAGUUGGGAGGAAGGGCAGUAAGUUAAUACCUUGCUGUUUUGACGUUACCAACAGAAUAAGCACCGGCUAACUUCGUG